rnacentral:tRNA from 1 species
UGGCUGUUAGCUCAGCUGGUAAAGAAUCUGCCUGCAAUGCAGGAGAUCCAGGUUCAAUCCCUGGGCCAG